rnacentral:rRNA from 1 species
GACGAACGCUGGCGGCGUGCUUAACACAUGCAAGUCGAACGGAGAGGCCUGCUUUCCCUUGUGGAUUGCGGGUACUCGAGUGGCGAACGGGUGAGUAACACGUGAGUGAUCUGCCCCCAACUUGGGUAUAAGCCUGGGAAACUGGGUCUAAUUCCCGAUAGGACUGCAGGGUGGUGCCUGUGGUGGAAAACGAUUUUCUAGUGGUUGGGGAUGAGCUCGCGGCCUAUCAGCUUGUUGGUGGGGUAAUGGCCUACCAAGGCGGCGACGGGUAGCCGGCCUGAGAGGGUGGACGGCCACAUUGGGACUGAGGUACGGCCCAGACUCCUACGGGAGGCAGCAGUGGGGAAUAUUGCACAAUGGGCGGAAGCCUGAUGCAGCGACGCCGCGUGGGGGAUGACGGCCUUCGGGUUGUAAACUCCUUUCGACCGCGAGGAAGCCACCUGGUUGGAAGGGUGGUGACGGUAGUGGUAGAAGAAGCACCGGCUAACUACGUG